rnacentral:rRNA from 1 species
AGAGUUUGAUCCUGGCUCAGGAUGAACGCUGGCGGCGUGCUUAACACAUGCAAGUCGAACGAUGAAGACCGUGCUUGCACGGUUGGAUUAGUGGCGAACGGGUGAGUAUCACGUGAGUAACCUUCCCUUAACUCUGGGAUAAGCCCGGGAAACUGGGUCUAAUACCGGAUACGACCAGUCCUCGCAUGGGGUGCUGGUGGAAAGAUUUAUCGGUUUUGGAUGGACUCGCGGCCUAUCAGCUUGUUGGUGAGGUAAAGGCUCACCAAGGCGAUGACGGGUAGCCGGCCUGAGAGGGUGACCGGCCACACUGGGACUGAGACACGGCCCAGACUCCUACGGGAGGCAGCAGUGGGGAAUAUUGCACAAUGGGCGAAAGCCUGAUGCAGCGACGCCGCGUGCGGGAUGACGGCCUUCGGGUUGUAAACCGCUUUCAGCAGGGAAGAAGCGAAAGUGACGGUACCUGCAGAAGAAGCGCCGGCUAACUACGUGCCAGCAGCCGCGGUAAUACGUAGGGCGCGAGCGUUAUCCGGAAUUAUUGGGCGUAAAGAGCUCGUAGGCGGUUUGUCACGUCUGCUGUGAAAGCCCGGGGCUCAACCCCGGGCGUGCAGUGGGUACGGGCAGACUAGAGUGCAGUAGGGGAGACUGGAAUUCCUGGUGUAGCGGUGAAAUGCGCAGAUAUCAGGAGGAACACCGAUGGCGAAGGCAGGUCUCUGGGCUGUUACUGACGCUGAGGAGCGAAAGCAUGGGGAGCGAACAGGAUUAGAUACCCUGGUAGUCCAUGCCGUAAACGUUGGGCACUAGGUGUGGGGGACAUUCCACGUUUUCCGCGCCGUAGCUAACGCAUUAAGUGCCCCGCCUGGGGAGUACGGCCGCAAGGCUAAAACUCAAAGGAAUUGACGGGGGCCCGCACAAGCGGCGGAGCAUGCGGAUUAAUUCGAUGCAACGCGAAGAACCUUACCAAGGCUUGACAUGGACCGGACCGCUGCAGAGAUGCAGUUUCCCUUCGGGGUCGGUUCACAGGUGGUGCAUGGUUGUCGUCAGCUCGUGUCGUGGGAUGUUGGGUUAAGUCCCGCAACGAGCGCAACCCCUAUCCUAUGUUGCCAGCACGUCAUGGUGGGGACUCAUGGGAGACUGCCGGGGUCAACUCGGAGGAAGGUGGGGACGACGUCAAAUCAUCAUGCCCCUUAUGUCUUGGGCUUCACGCAUGCUACAAUGGCCGGUACAAUGGGUUGCGAUACUGUGAGGUGGAGCUAAUCCCUAAAAGCCGGUCUCAGUUCGGAUCGAAGUCUGCAACUCGACUUCGUGAAGUUGGAGUCGCUAGUAAUCGCAGAUCAGCAACGCUGCGGUGAAUACGUUCCCGGGCCUUGUACACACCGCCCGUCAAGUCACGAAAGUGGGUAACACCCGAAGCCGGUGGCCUAACCCUUGUGGGGGGAGCCGCCGAAGGUGGGACUCGCGAUUGGGACUAAGUCGUAACAAGGUAGCCGUACCGGAAGGUGCGGCU